GACUCAAAGGGGUAACAGGGUCACUGUCACUUGACUCCUUUUAGUUUGCUUAUACUUUAAAGAAUGCCCUAGGUAACUAUGGACAACUCAAGCAAAGAUUGCUCUAGCUUGUUCCCUGCCCAGCCACUCAGCUUACAUGAAUGUGUGACCCACAGCAGUGCAGGACUUAGGGCUCCAAGUGCCAGGGGACAGUGUCAGGUGGGGAGUCACACUAGGGCAGUAUAGCUGGCAAACCAAAAUGCAGUCUCUGAGGGUGAGCCCAGGGAAGAUGGAAAUCUCCUGUGGAGCAGAAGGGCAAAAGCUCACCUGAUCUUGAUUUUCAGAUUUUUUGUGGAAGAGGGGCCUUAUCAUACUUCUGACUUUCUGUUUAGUAAGCAGAAGGUGUCAUAAAAGUUAUCACCGGGAUGGUAGGGAGGCCAAGUGUUUAUAAUGACACAUAGUUGAAAAUAUAAGUUUAAAAUUGCCUUUUUAAACUUUGUGUCUGCUCUUCUUUUCAGUGUAAGGCAGAAUUCACCAAGCUCUGGAUUGUUCCCCUGCUAACAAGGAGUGUGACCUGGCUUUUGGCUGUUGUAAGAAAGGUUAGUUACAGCUUUAAAAGC
rnacentral:ncRNA from 1 species